rnacentral:rRNA from 1 species
AACGAACGCUGGCGGCAGGCUUAACACACGCAAGUCGAGCGCCCCGCAAGGGGAGCGGCAGACGGGUGAGUAACGCGUGGGAACGUACCCUUUGCUACGGAAUAGCUCCGGGAAACUGGAAUUAAUACCGUAUGUGCCCUACGGGGGAAAGAUUUAUCGGCAGAGGAUCGGCCCGCGUUGGAUUAGCUAGUUGGUGGGGUAAUGGCCCACCAAGGCGACGAUCCAUAGCUGGUCUGAGAGGAUGAUCAGCCACAUUGGGACUGAGACACGGCCCAAACUCCUACGGGAGGCAGCAGUGGGGAAUAUUGGACAAUGGGCGCAAGCCUGAUCCAGCCAUGCCGCGUGAGUGAUGAAGGCCUUAGGGUUGUAAAGCUCUUUCACCGGAGAAGAUAAUGACGGUAUCCGGAGAAGAAGCCCCGGCUAACUUCGUGCCAGCCGCCGCCGUAAUAC